AGGGGUGUAGCUCAGUUGGUAGAGCAGCCGUCUCCAAAACGGCCGGUCGGGGGUUCGAAUCCUCUCGCCCCUGCCA
rnacentral:tRNA from 1 species